rnacentral:lncRNA from 1 species
AAGUUUCUCAAUUCUCGUCAAACUUAGUCAUUAGAACCUCUACAUCCACGACAAGUUAUGAGGAGCACAUUUAUUCCGACAAUAUAAACUUAGUUCAAGCAAAAAUCCAUAAUUUUUUCUAACUAGAAGCUGCCAUUAUAUCAAAGAAACCUUAAGUUAUUGAUUAAACUCAUACAUUAUAUGCUACUUAACCCAUUUCCCAUCAAGAACUUAAUUUAUAACUUGGUUUGCAUUAUACCACGGCAAUUGUUAAAAUGGCAUGCUGCCAUUUCAGGUUUCUCAAUUCUUUCGCCAAAAUCUGCAUUAAACUAAAUAAUUUAUUCAUUUGUACAAGGAAUUUUCAGUUUAUAGUUCAAUUGAAACGGUAAAAUCAAGGUUUCCUACGUAACAUACCAAGAACUCAAGCCAAAGGCUAAAAAUAUCUACUGUCGUACUAACGAAUCAUCGUUUCCUUACAAAAAUUUAUAAUAGACUCAAUAAUCUAGCUAUUUCUAUAUAGGAAUUCAAUUCAUCGCUUCCAUUUAUAAUUUUUAUUAAAAAUCUCCAAGCUAAUUCUCAUGAACAGUAACUAGGGAUUUAUUUCUUCACAAAAAUUGAUUCAUGAGAGAAUCCUACAAUUAAAAUCUGACAAUUAGUUUAGGUAUCAUCAAGAGAAAGGCUAGAAAUUCCCUCCCCUUGUCGCAAAAACACACUAGAAAUCGUAAAUUUCCGGGUAGAACGAUUGGCAGCGGCUUCUUUGUCCAAAAGCUGUUUCUGUCGAUGCUGGCUUGCCCAGAAAAGAGAGGAACGGUGGACGGUGAGGUGCUGGAGACGGGAUGAGAGGUGGUUUGGCCGGCUAUUGACUGGAUUCGUCGGAAAAACCAGAAGAAUGAGAAGGAGGUGACUGUCUCGAUCGGAAAUCGCAGCUCAAUACCUUCCUCGUUUUUGCGCUAUGUAGACUAGAAGUGGAGAGGACAGAGCGGCAUACUAAGACCGGUGGCGAGAAGGAGGUUCUACUGGUCGCACUGAGCUCAGGCGAUCGGAAAUCGACGGGGAGGGAGGGGGAGUUGCUGUCGCUGAAGCGGGGAAAGAAGAGAGAGAAAUGGGACCAAAUAGUAAUUUCUGAUUUUCUAGGGUCUUCUAAUUAGUUCUAGGCUGAUUUGAAUUUGGUUUGGCCCAAAUUAAAUGUAAAUAAAAGAAAGAUUGUACCUUUUGCGGCUUAGGCCUUAGGGUAGUUGAAUUGGUUGACCCACGUACCCCUCAUUCAUAUUCAAUUUAAUUUUCGUAAAUUAAAAUAAAACCAAUGCUUGAAAAGUUUUGUUGGUUGAUACUUAAUAGUUGGUAACGUCAUGUUGAAAGGGGGACACUUAUUUUUCGACACUGUUGGGAAUUUUAAUUGAUUGUAAGAGUUUCUUUUU